AUUUCUAAGCCCUGGCAACUUAAAAGCAAGAGAUCCUUGACUGAUCUUGGAAGCUAAGCAGGAUCGGGCCUGGUUAGAACUUGGAUAGGAGAGCAACAACGAAUCCCAGGUGCUGCAAGUU
rnacentral:rRNA from 11 species